AUGUUAGUAGACUUUGAACCGGUGAGUACGAAAGAGGCUCUUAAGAAGCAAAUCUGGUUGCAGUCCAUGAAAGAAGAACUUGAUCCUAUAGAGAGAAACCACACUUGGAAGCUGACUGAACUUCCAAAAGGCAAGAAAGCCAUCAGCGUUAGAUGGGUUUUCAAGAAGAAGCUAAAUCCAGAUGGAUCAAUUGGCAAAUACAAAGCGAGAUUAAUAGCAAGAGGCUUUCUACAGAAGCCUGGGCUGGAUUACUUUGAAGUGUUUGCACCUGUAGCGAGACAUGAAACAAUCAGACUAGUGAUUACAAUAGCUGCUAACAGGAAUUGGCCUCUGAUGCAUUUAGAUGUAAAAUCUACAUUUAUGAAUGGUCCAUUACAAGAAGAGGUGUACGUUUCACAACCUCCUAGAUUUGAGAAAAAGAAUCAGGAAGGGAUGGUGUUCAAAUUACACAAAGCAUUGUAUGGAUUGAA